AAAAUGACUCUCGGCAACGGAUAUCCCGGCUCUCGCAUCGAUGAAGAACGUAGCGAAAUGCGAUACUUGGUGUGAAUUGCAGAAUCCCGUGAACCAUCGAGUCUUUGAACGCAAGUUGCGCCCGAAGCCNUUAGGCUUAGGGCACGUCUGCCUGGGUGUCACGC
rnacentral:rRNA from 1 species